AGCUCCAAUAGCGUAUAUUAAAAUUGUUGCGGUUAAAACGCUCGUAGUUGGAUAUUUGUCAAGGACUGCCGGUCUACCCUAGCGGUCAGCACUCGGUAUGUCCUCGGCAUUUUCCUGGAGACAGUGUUCGCUCUUAAUUGAGUGGCACAUGAACCAGAACUUUUACUUUGAGGAAAUGAGAGUGUUUCAAGCAGGCGUACGUCGUGAAUACGUUAGCAUGGAAUAAUAGCAUAGGACCCCGGUCUGAAGCUGUUGGUUUUUGGGCCGAGGUAAUGAAAAUAGGGAUAGUUGGGGGCAUUCGUAUUUAACUGUCAGAGGUGAAAUUCUUAGAUUUUUUAAAGACGAACUACUGCGAAAGCAUCUGCCCAGGAUGUUUUUA
rnacentral:rRNA from 1 species